CGUUGGAACCCUUCUGCGACAGCAUUCCUUGGAGAAUUUCGGCGCUGACAUAUUUAAGUGUGAAACGAUCAAAUCCUUCUGAGUCGAUGAGGUGGAAAAUCAAGUCAUUCCAAUCACUCCAAUCCCGGAAUUCCGGAAGUAUUCACGUCGAUGGCUUCGGAAAGAGCCAACUCACCAAGAAGAUGGGAGGAGUGAUCCUUGUCAUGGUGACGAGAAGGGGCGGAGUUCAAGUUUCGUGGAUGAUCGACGCGAAAAUCAGCAGCGGCUCUGUAAGGAUUGUUGAACCUGAUGAACCCGCAGCAAUCCAGCACAGCCAUUGCAGUGCAACAGAAUAGAAAGGAAAGACAGUAUAGAAUAACAGGUCGUUAUUCUAUAUGCAGAACCAACAAGAUCGACUUCCUUCGCUGACUUCCUCCGUUGAGGUUUCCUUUUGUUACUACCAGCCAUCAAAUUGAGUAGUUGCUUGAAUGAAUUAGCGUUCCUGAAAGCAAAACAACUGCGGUGCAUGAUUAUAAGUUCGAGCGGGCUACACUUUCACGAAUGCUGAAAUCACAAUAUUUACAGUAUAUACUACACUUGUUAACUUU